ACCUCCAGCCAGCUCCCCUUCCACCGGCGGUACCUGCUGCUUCACUGCCGCCGUCCCGACACAGCCCUGGUUCGUCCCCGCGCUGGGAGGGGCUGCCGGGAUGUUCCCGGUGUUCUGCGCCCGUACGAGAGGCAAAACCAGUGGCCAGCAACUGAGAGUAAGAGUUCACAUUUUAAAACCAUUAUUGAGUCUUGCAACAUAGCCUGUGCAAACAGAGAAGAAACAUCAAAGGAACUUUUGACUGUGCUACCCACUGCUAAUAGGAGAACCAUUAUCAAGUAAAGCAUCCCACUAAAAAAAAAUUAGGGAAAUCUACAAAGAUAUAACUAUCUGCCAUCAAAUAAAAUCAGACAACGAUAAAUGAGCAUAUAGUAAAUAAGAAUAGUAUUCCUGUGAAAAGUCUAGUGCUAAAUAUAUUUAUUUGCCAAAACUAAAAUAUCACAAGACAUUAAUAGAAUUCACUUAGUUAUUUCUUAGAUAAAGUGGGAGAAAGGCAGCAUCCAAAGCUGCAAAGAUGGUACAGCCAUGUGCUGUCUGUAUUCUCUGUUAUUUUAAAGUGACUGUGCUACCUGCUUUUAGUCUCAAUUAGGGCUAGAGGAACUGUAGGUUUCUAACAGUUGUCUCUUAUGACAUUUGCCAGGCAGUGAUGGAAACCUCCUUUUCCUGAGUAAAGCAUUCCAUAGUUACUCAAUCCAUUCCUGCAUUUGUCUUUCUAUGCCUUUCUGUGGAGUUUGCAGAGCAUUAGCAAAAUUUUUUCCUAAGAAAGAGCCAUAGCAGAAAGUGUGGAUUGAAAUGUGGAGAAGUUCAAACAGGAGAAGAGCUGGUCAGCAGAGGAGAAAUAAAGAUGUGGAAAAUACAUUCUUGAAAAUGAGAACCUGAGGAUAGGAAGAUUGACAGGAAAAGAAGGAGCAAGUGAAAUACUGGGACAACAGAUCACAGACUAGAGCCAAAUAUUUUUGGGUCAGUCACAAACAACAAAACCCCCACACAAAAGAAUCCAGCCCGUGUCAUUUGUGGUGCAUUACAAAAUGAGAACAAGAGCUCAGCACCACCAUCCAUGGAUCCUCCAGGCAAAGGGCAGACUGGCACCUCUACUCAAUGAUCACCUUUAGCUUUCUUCUGCUUAGCAAAGUGUCUCUUAAAAAGGAUCUGCAUUUCCUUUGAAUAGUUGCUUUCAGGAAGUAUUCAAGGAGCAAAACAGCAUAGAAAGAUUUGCAUGAAAUAAACAUUCUUGUGUUCUGAA